rnacentral:rRNA from 1 species
UACGUAGGGUGCGAGCGUUGUCCGGAAUUAUUGGGCGUAAAGAGCUUGUAGGCGGUUUGUCGCGUCUGCCGUGAAAUUCCUGGGCUCAACCUGGGGCUGCGUUUGAUACGUGCAGACUUGAGUUCGGAAGAGGUCGUGGAAUUCCCAGUGUAGAGGUGAAAUUCGUAGAUAUUGGGAAGAACACCGGUGGCGAAGGCGGCGACCUGGUCCGAUACUGACGCUGAGGCGCGAAAGCGUGGGGAGCAAACAGG